rnacentral:rRNA from 1 species
CCUACGGGAGGCAGCAGUGGGGAAUCUUGCACAAUGGAGGAAACUCUGAUGCAGCGAUGCCGCGUGAGUGAAGAAGGCCUUUGGGUUGUAAAGCUCUUUUGUAGGGGAAGAUAAUGACUGUACCCUAAGAAUAAGGUCCGGCUAACUUCGUGCCAGCAGCCGCGGUAAUACGAAGGGACCUAGCGUAGUUCGGAAUUACUGGGCGUAAAGCGCGCGUAGGCCGUUGAGUUAGUUAAUUGUGAAAUCCCAAAGCUUAACUUUGGAACUGCAAUUAAAACUGCUCGACUAGAGUUUGAUAGAGGAAAGCGGAAUACAUAGUGUAGGGGUGAAAUUCGUAGAUAUUAUGUAGAACACCAGUUGCGAAGGCGGCUUUCUGGAUCAACACUGACGCUGAGGCGCGAAAGUAUGGGUAGCAAAGAGGAUUAGAUACCCUCGUAGUCCAUACCAUAAACGAUGAUUGCUAGAUGUUGGAAAUUUAUUUUCAGUAUCGCAGCUAACGCAUUAAGCAAUCCGCCUGGGGAGUACGACCGCAGGUUAAAACUCAAAUNAUAGAGCGNGAGANGCGAGCGACACGAGGAGAG